UACGUAGGGGGCAAGCGUUGUCCGGAAUCAUUGGGCGUAAAGAGCGUGUAGGCGGCUCGAUAAGUCCGCUGUGAAAGUCCAGGGCUCAACCCUGGAAGGCCGGUGGAAACUGCCGGGCUAGAGUCCGGAAGAGGCGAGUGGAAUUCCCGGUGUAGCGGUGAAAUGCGCAGAUAUCGGGAGGAACACCAAUGGCGAAGGCAGCUCGCUGGGACGGUACUGACGCUGAGACGCGAAAGCGUGGGGAGCAAACAGG
rnacentral:rRNA from 1 species